rnacentral:rRNA from 1 species
AUUGAACGCUGGCGGCAGGCCUAACACAUGCAAGUCGAGCGAGCGGCGGACGGGUGAGUAAUGCCUAGGAAUCUGCCUGGUAGUGGGGGAUAACGUCCGGAAACGGUAGCUAAUACCGCAUACCAUCAGAUGUGCCCAGAUGGGAUUAGCUAGUAGGUGGGGUAACGGCUCACCUAGGCGACGAUCCCUAGCUGGUCUGAGAGGAUGACCAGCCACACUGGAACUGAGACACGGUCCAGACUCCUACGGGAGGCAGCAGUGGGGAAUAUUGCACAAUGGGCGCAAGCCUGAUGCAGCCAUGCCGCGUGUGUGAAGAAGGCCUUCGGGUUGUAAAGCACUUUCAGCGGGGAGGCGUUACCCGCAGAAGAAGCACCGGCUAACUCCGUGCCAGCAGCCGCGGUAAUAC